rnacentral:tRNA from 1 species
GAGGGUAUAGCUCAAGUGGUAGAGCACAUGCUUGGCGUGUCUGAGGUCCUGGGUUCAAUCCCCAGUCCCUCCU